ACGUUAUCACGAAAGGCAGAGGGAUUAGACCCGUUGACGCCUUAGCAACCCAUUUCUUUUCGAAAUAAAGGUGCUACAUUCUACAGUUUAUCCUGAACUUAUUUCAGGAAUUAAUCUGACAGAUAACAG
rnacentral:ncRNA from 2 species